UUACGGCCAAAUCAUGCUGAAACACAGGUUCCCGUACGACUAUCAAAGUUAAGCAACGUCGAACUUGGUCAGUACCUAGAUGGAUGACCGUUUGAGAAUAGCAGGUGCUGUAAG